CUUCCGCCCAAGCUCGCUCCUGAAAUCAAGUUAAUCGGCGUUCGAUACGCAGUCACGGCGACCUGUCUCGAUCCCCGUCGGUCUCAUCAAUACGUUCCUCCUGUCUGCUGCUGUUCGUCCGUUAAAAUAUCGUGGAUCGCGAUCGUGCGUAACCGGAAGUCAACAUGGAAGAGGUAGUGCUGGAUAUGUCAAACGCCGAAGAGACGAAAAUCGUGCAUGAUCGUACAGAUCGUGCCGAGUGUUGGAUAGACAUACAACCGGAGUCAUCGAACAUGAACGAGAUUGACGCCGGCGUCGUGUUAAUCAGGAAAAGUUCGAGUAGGAAGAAGGACGAAUCGCGCCGACUUCUUCGGCUGACGAAUAGAAGAAACUAAUGUGGGAGAUAAUAAUAGGAGUGACAAAGUAUAACUGUAAGAAAAUAUGGACUCGCGUCAUGCCGAGUCUUCCUGUCCUUAGUCCUUCUCGCAAGGGCAAAGUAAUCGACUAUAGCAAGCAAGAAAAUCAUAAAAGUCAUGCAGCCGAAGGCUAUUGCGGUAUUUGCUAUGCGAUCGCUACCGCGUAACGCCGAACGAGACAUGAAAACCGAAACUUUCGGCAAAAGUGGUUGAUAUUUCGGGUCGUUGAUAAUCGACGGAGAAAGUGCAAGGCGACGAGAAACUCCGCUCGUGUGCUCGUGUACGUGGAAUAGAUCUGUGC